GCUGGGCGUGGUGCCGCGUGUCUGUAAUCCCAGCUACUCAGGAGGCUGAGGCAGUAGAAUCACUUGAACCCAGGAAGCAGAGGUUGCAGUGAGCUGAGAUUGGGCCACUGCACUCCAGCCUGGGUGACAGAGUGAGACUCUGUCUCAA
rnacentral:SRP_RNA from 2 species